rnacentral:misc_RNA from 1 species
UGCAAGCAUAACUUUCAAACAACUUCUGGAUGCACUUCAUUCCAUUUUGAUUACAAUUUUUUAUUUUAAGUAAGAAGUUUAGUCAUUAUAUAUUCCUCAAGGUUCCUACAUAAGGAAUGUCAUUGUAUGCUAUCUGGUUUUGGUUGAAAAAAAAAAUAAUAUAAAUAUAUAUAUAUUGGGUAUGAAAAAUUAGGUUCUACAAUA